rnacentral:rRNA from 1 species
GUUGUGGGGUCAUUCCACGGAUUCCGUGACGCAGCUAACGCAUUAAGUUCCCCGCCUGGGGAGUACGGCCGCAAGGCUAAAACUCAAAGGAAUUGACGGGGACCCGCACAAGCGGCGGAGCAUGCGGAUUAAUUCGAUGCAACGCGAAGAACCUUACCAAGGCUUGACAUAUACGAGAACGGGCCAGAAAUGGUCAACUCUUUGGACACUCGUAAACAGGUGGUGCAUGGUUGUCGUCAGCUCGCGUCGUGAGAUGUUGGGUUAAGUCCCGCAACGAGCGCAACCCUCGUUCUAUGUUGCCAGCACGUAAUGGUGGGAACUCAUGGGAUACUGCCGGGGUCAACUCGGAGGAAGGUGGGGAUGACGUCAAAUCAUCAUGCCCCUUAUGUCUUGGGCUUCACGCAUGCUACAAUGGCCGGUACAAAGGGCUGCAAUACCGCGAGGUGGAGCGAAUCCCAAAAAGCCGGUCCCAGUUCGGAUUGAGGUCUGCAACUCGACCUCAUGAAGUCGGAGUCGCUAGUAAUCGCAGAUCAGCAACGCUGCGGUGAAUACGUUCCCGGGUCUUGUACACACCGCCCGUCAAGUCAUGAAAGUCGGUAACACCUGAAGCCGGUGGCCCAACCCUCG